GAUACCCUGUUCCUCCUCCGGAGUGCCUUCAUCAAUAGCAGGCUAGAGUUCGUGGGGAUGGGUUAAUUUAAGUUGCUAUAUUAAAUAACAAUGCAGCUGAUGUAAUAAAAGAAAAUUUUAAAUUGUUCCACUUUAUAAAAUUAUUAUAGUUAUUUAUUAAUACUUUUUAAUAAUAAAUAUUUUCCCAUAAGUUAGGAAGUAGAUUAUUGUUACAUAUUCUACCAUGAAUUAGGAUCUAUUAUAGUUAGUAACAGCACAAGGUGACCAUUUCUCUCAUGGAAAACUCAUGCUUGAACUGAUCAAGUUACAAUAAAUUAACACAAAAAUACUUGAUUUUGGUUUUGAUUUGAUUGCUUCUUCUCUUUUACUAUAUUUUUCCCAUAAAACGAAAUUAAACAUAUCGAUGAAGACAAAUGAUAAAAAGUUUAUUACAACUAUCAAACAGUAAUAAAAAUUAAGGCAAUAUAAUAAAAUAAUAAAUUUUUUAAUUUUUAAUUUUUAAAUCGAUUAAUUCAUAUAGUUAUAUAAUAUUUUUGAUAUUCAAAUUCUAAGGUUUGUAAUUUCUUCUUAUACUCUUGUGCUAUCAUGUUACAAUCUCUUUAAAAAAUAAAUAAAUAAAUAAAUUUUCACCGGCCAAUUGCCUAAUUUAUAAAGUUGUCACAUGCUGAUUUGUUUUUAUUAUUCAUAAUCGAACGGGCUUAUAAAGCCCAAUCUACGAUCCAAGAACUCCAUCUGUAAUUGGCCGAAAAAAGAGAAAUUGUAUAAUUAAAAAGAAAAAAGUCUUCACCGAUCAGGUAAUUUUUUUGAAAGCUACGGGGACUGGGUAUUCCCAUGGCGGAUUUUCUAUAUCCAGUAGCAUAUUUUCAGUUUGCUACCCCAGUAAUGGCCCUUCUUCAAAGACCCUUUUUUGUGCUACUUCUUAUACUAACUCAUCAAUUCAUGCAAUGUUGGAUUGCUUUUGGAUCGGUCAAUGAAGAAGGAAAAAAACAAGAAGAAGAAUUCAAUGAGGAGCUACUAUUGAAGCCGUUGCCAGAUCGCAACGUGUUGGCCCAUUUCCAUUUUCGAAGCUCUGCCCCUCUUUCCACCACUUAUUUCCCAAAGCCAUUUCUCAAUUGGUACUUUUUUUAUUAGUUUAUUUUAUUUUUUCUUUUGGGUCACCGAGAAAUCUUACGCUUUUUUUUUUUUUGGUAUUUAUGUUCUUUCAUGUUGCUUUUGUUUAAAUGGAGUUAGAGAAAAGCUAGCUUAGCCAAGUCAGGUGGCUUUCUUCAGUUUCUGAAUCUAUCAGUAACUUAGAAAGGUGGUAGGAAAGCCCAAAACUUAAAUCUUUCCUUUGCUCUUCAUACAUUUAUUAGCAAAAUAUUUAAUCAUUGUGUGGUGUAAAGAGGAUUUUGGGUUUACUUGCUUUUGAUAUGCUUUGGUCUGUAUGUUGAUUUUUUAAGUUUAUCGUAAUGUUUGAAUAAAUAUUAAUAAAAUAAUAAAAAAAUAAUAUAUGUAUAAUUAUUUGGAUAAUUAAAAUUAAAAAAAAAAAUUUUUAUCAAUUAUUAUUUGGAUAAAUAAUAAAAAAAAGAAAAUGAUUCAUUAUAAUAAUUUUUUUAUUUAUAAUUUUUUAUUAUUUGUAAUUUUAAAAUAUUUUUGGAUAAUGAUAUAUUUGUUAUCUUAUUUAGCUUCAAAAUUAUUGUUAUAUCAGUGAUUUUUAAUCAAGUAAAACAUAAAGUUAUUUUACAAACAUGCAUUAAUGAAUUUUUUGAUCAUUAUCAAAACUUUAAUACACUAUUACUUUGACAAUAUAUUCAUAUAAAACUAUUAAAUAUAAAAAAUACAAUCAUAUGAAAACAUUACAUACUAAAGAAUUAUAUGUCCUUUUUGCACCAAACAAAAAGUAAUAAUAUAUUAUCAUAUAGUUGUCUAAUAUAAAUUUAUUUUAUCAAAAAGAGAUGAUUUUGAAAAAAUUAUAAGAAAAUUAUGAUGUGGUUUUGUUUUUUUUACUAAUUUUCUAGUAUUAAUAAAAAAAUAGAUAUAAUAAUCUUUUAAUAAAAAUAAAAUUUUUUUCAAUUUUCAUUUUUUUAGCUUUUUUUUAAAAAUUGAAAUAUUAAAAAAAUGAAGAUUACAAGAAAAAACAAAAGUUAUUGAGUUUUCACAUAUAUAUUUUUUUAAAUUAAAAAUUUAUCCAAACAAAAUUUUUUUUUCUGUUUUCAUUAUUAUUUUUUAUUUCUCUUUCUUUUUCUUUUCCUCUCCUUAAUCGAAUCAUACAGUAAGGAUCAGGUUAAGUAGGGAGUAAGGACUAUGGACUGGAGUUGUCAACUCAGGCUGAGUCAAUUUAAGUAGUUAGUGGACUGCAUCAAGUUACCAAAUAAUCGGGAUUUAAAAUUUUGAUUUAUUAGCUUUUGUUUCAUGAUGAAAAAUAGAUGCAUUAUAAGGUUAAAUCUUAUCAUUAUUGUCUUUGGAGCACUCAGCUUGGCCUGAGUCAAUUAAGGUAGGUCAUACAGGCUCUUUUUUUCUUUAAAGCCUUCUAUUAGCUUAUUUACAUAAAAAAUAUCAUUCAACCUAUCUCUGCAUUUUCCUAAUCAAGUUAUGAUUAGUUCAUUGUUUUCCGCAUUCAUAAAUAUACAUGAGAAUGAAAUGUUCUUAUGAACUCAUCCAACCUUUUCAGCAAUGUUAUGUCUGACAUGAAGUACAAAAUUGGCUACAAGUUUACCUGAAAAAUAUUAUGCACGAAUUGUGUAUGUCUUGCAUUAAUUUGUCUAUCUCUCUUUGUGUAAGGUAAAGAUAAGAGUCUUGAUAAACUUCCCAUUGUAGAUUUUACAAAGCGAGGAUCAGUACCCUUCUUAGGAGAAGAUGAAUAAACAUUCCUGCUCAUAUUUGGAAGAGGAACCUCCCACCGGCAUUGCAUUGGUGUAAUCAGGACAUAGAAUCAACGAACAGUCAAUGAUAAACCAUAAUGAAACAUAUAACCAACGAAUUGCUAUAACCUAAUGGAAAAGUGGUUGAUAUGGAACUGACUUAAAAAUGAGAAACGGGGUAGCCGUCAUGGAAAGCUAAGAUUCAUAAUAGGUUAGGGAAAAAGGAUGCCUUUUAAAUGAUACAGCUGUCUAAUCUUUUAAUGUUUACUGCAGUAUUUUUUAUUUCUACAUUUCGAGUAUUUCACAAACACCUUCUACCCCUCUCUCAUGUACAUACAUCUUAUUCAUCCAAAUCUAUUUGCCAUAUUGCAGAACCGAAUUCUAAUCUUUCCAUAACAUUCUACUUAACUUCCAUCAUUUACUUCAGCGUUUUACAUUACAUGACUGUUAAUAUUAGAAAUAUUCCAAAUAUUUCCUGAUUGUUGAAACCUCAAAAUGACAUCCAAUAUCAACAUAAUUGUUCUUUGGAUUAUUAUCCAAUCCGCUGCUAGUGCAGUGCAAACGCUCCACAAGCAGGAUUGUUUGAUGCAAUGCUUCCGUUUAACAAAAUGGACAUAGAAUUAGGAAGUUAACCUAACCGCUAAGUAAGGCAUGAAAAUUGAACAACCCCUUGAAGAGCUUUUGUGUUCUAAUAUUGUUGUAUAAGAUAAUGAUGUAUAUUCUUUUAUGACUAAGUCCUAAAGGAUGAUAGGAAAAGAAUAACGAAGAAAAGUUUGAAUACAAAGUCUUGACAACUAAUGCAGAUGUCUUACACUUCCAAAGAUCCAUUUCCCAGUAAGACAGCCAGAUAGCCCAUCCGUUGGUUGCAUUUAGAAUCAUUUAUAUCAUAAGGCUUCCAUUUUACAUCCCAAGCAACUUUUCCAUUGUGAGCUAGAAAGAGGACAGCUCUUGGCAGUGCAAUGUCACCUGGAAUAGAAGAACCGGGGCUGAACUCGAACGAAUUACUAUCUAAAAGAUUAUUCGGCACAGUAGCAUCCUGCCAGAGUUGUAACAAAUUUGUUGGUUUAUUGUCAAUGAAGAUUCUGUUUCUUCAUUUUGAGUCAAUAAUGGGAGGCAUUUACCAUCACUAAUAGUUUUUUGCUCGUGCCUUACUUUUCAAUUUUCUACUUUCCACAGAUGUAUUAGGGGCUGCAUCAGAUGAAAAUGCUGCCUCUUUGUCACCUUUUUGUUUUUUAUGAUGAUUCUUAUCUGAAACAUUUUCUUGCGUAUUUCCAGGAGCGUUGUCUAUUGCAACUGGCUCAAAGGAACCUUCUGGGUACUGAACAGGAAGAGGUUGGAAAGGCUCGUCAUUCUAAUUGCUGUUAGGAGAUUCACCAAUUGAUUUGUUUGUAGGUCUACCUGUUGGCCUCUUAACCUGAUCUAGUUGAGAUUCAACUAUUGGUUUCUUUCCAGGUCUUCCUCUAGGCCUCUUUGACGAGCUCUCCCCCAUGGCCUUUGUAUUUUGAGAUCUCCGUUUUGGCUUUUUCUUUAACAGAGGAGCUUCUUCCUCAUUCACCCCAACAUUUAGCAUACACCAUAUUUGAAUGAUGCCUCUACCAGUAAGUGGGGUGCCCAUCUUGUGAUAAUAAGAUUCAGGAGGAUGAGCAGCGACAGCAAUGAACUGGGAAAAAGAAGGCAAAAAAAGAAAAAGACAAAACAAGGACAGCCUCGCAAGAUUGCAGCAUUAAGAUGGUGAUAAUUAUUAUUAAAAAUCCUACUUAUUAAGCAUGCAGGCAAUAUUUUAAACCACUGUUUCAGAACAAAUCUAGGCUUUUGUCUCUUUCAUUUGAAAUAACCAAGUAGAUAGAGGUUUGGGCUAUAAUGAUAAAUUGAAGGUGGAAUACACGAAAAAAAAAAAAAAAGAAUAAAAGGUUCCCAGAAGUGGGUUAGGGAUUUGGGAGGGGAGAAGUGGGGAAGUACCUCACAUUUGACAGGACUGUUAGGAUUCUCAUGAACUCUAGGACACCAUUAAUCUAAUGCCCAAACAGACCCUCCAACAUACAUCACGAAGUCCUUGCUGCAAGAUGAUUGUACUUUAAUCAUGUCAUUCAAUAAAUGUAUAAAACAUACCAUUUUGCAGCGGUGUUGGCUUCACAAAUAAAAAUAUUUGGGUGCCCAUACACAGAUCUUAAAUAAGAGGAGCAAUAAUAACACCAAGUUCUUAUCUUAUAACAUGUAUAUGCAUCACAGAUCAACAAGAGCAAACACCAUCCAUAACAUGUUGUUCAUAAGAGUUAAAAUUUUUUAAACAAAGGAGGAAUCCUGUAGGAUAGCAGAACUUUUAUGGUCAAGAAUAAAACUAAGACCUUUUCCAAACCCACAGUACACCAUCCUUUUACCACCUAAACCCAAUAACAUUGGAAACUGAAAUUGCUCCAACCAAAAUCCAAUCUAACAUGGAUUCUGGAGAUGCAUUACUUACUCGUAGUCCUUCCUGCUGCUUCCAUAAGAAAAAAAGAAAGAAAAAAAAGAAAAAAAAAACAACAAUGAGUAUUAACAGAAUAUUAUGCUAUAACAAGUAAAAACUAUUCCAGAAGAUUUAUGCAGUCAUUGAACAUUCCUCCAUGUGAGGGACCCAAAAUAAAAAGAUUUUCUUUCACCUUGGGAACAGUUGCUGAUGAAAACUGAGGCAAGUUUAUGCCACCAGAAACAUCUUUACCCGGUGAGUCUCCUAGUUCGCUAGCAAACCCAAUGAUCCUCGGUUCAUAAUUAAAAUGCCUCCAUUCCCUAAAAGCAUGUUUAAUAGUAAAUUAAGAACUUGUACAUGUCUAUAUUGGACAGAUAAAACUAACAUAAAAAAAAAAAAAUACCCGACGUACAUCAGCAAAGUCAAUUCAAUCGCAUUUGGAAGUUCUAAAUGCACAAAGAUGAGCAUAAAGUUACCUUAAGAAAGUGAUUGAAGAAGAGAAUCUCCGGAUAUCAGUUUCAUCGAGACCAUCAAUCUUGGGUUCUUCACAAAUCUAGAGAUUGUAUCCAUUACCCUAAAAUGUUUCUCGAUUGAAUAACCAAAUAUAGAGAACCUAACUCCAGAAUCACCAUUAAAUGGUGGUUCUUCCAUUUUUCUGUUUCUUUUUUCCUACAUGUAACACAUCUGUUCGUCAAUCACUCAAAUAUGAGACAUAUAAUGCUAGAGAAGUUUUUUUUUUUCUGUUAGUAGGAGAACAAACGUCCGUAUAAAGGAAAGAAAGACAGCGGAAUUAGAACCUACGUCCAUAAGUCUUUUUUAAAAUCUCUUAAUCAUUACAUCAAAAGAAAAGACAUAUAAUGUUAGAGAGUUGAUUAUAAGAAAUAAAACGUAAACUAUAACUGAAUGCUAAAUUUGAUACUUUAACUUAAAAAAAAAUUCAAUUCAAAAAAUUGUUGGAGCCUAACUCUGAGUUGCAAUCAACAAUAUAACUUAAUUUAAACAAAAUAAAUGUAAUAUGGAACAUCACAUUUAAUAAUAAUUACGACGCAUUAACUUGAAAUUCUUUCUAAACCUUUUUCAUCAGUAAACUUAAGUUUUUCCCUCUUAACCAAAAACAACAAAAAAUAAAAUAAAAUAAAAUCCAUGAAUUUCACAUAUUUUUCCUCUCAAAAUUUCGUGACCCAAACAUACCAGUAGGCAACGAUAAUUAGCUCAGAUGACCUGAUUUUAUUUCAAAGCAGACAGAUAAUAUAUGUGCCUCUAAAUGAUGAAAAUUAAAGGUAUUAUAUUUAAAGACAAAUAUGAUUUAUGCCUUAAAUCCAUUAUUUUAAAAAUUAAUAUUUAUGUGUAGCUUAUUCUUUGCCUUUAAUUAUUGGUUUUGUUGUAGUGUAUAAAAAAUAAUGUAUAUUAUAAUUUGAGUUAUAAUCGACUAAGUUUGGGCUUUGAAUGCUAGUCUCAAGUUUCAAUUUACAUUUUAAAAGAACUCGAAGACGUCAAAGGAUAGAGUAUGGGGCAGGUAGAAUAUUUUUCUUUUUUAUUCUCAAAUUUUUAUAUUAUAUUAAUUCUUAUAUCUAUAUUCAAUGAAAAUUUUAAAUUUAUUCACAUUUUUACCUACGAAAAUAUUUAAUUGAUGCAAAUAAUUCUUAUACUCUUAGCUUUUUUAAAAAAUAAAUUUUACCUUUUAAUUUAUUUUAAUUUUUAUCUUACAUAUUCAUAUAAUUUUUUUAUAAAUAUAUUAAUAUAUAUUUAAAAUAAAAUAUAUGUUAAUUUUAAUUAAUCAAAAAUAAAAUUUUAUAUUAUUUAAUAAUAAAUUUAUUUACUAAAUAUAUAGGCAACGGGUACAAAAUAUGUGCUAUAUUACUUGUCUCUAUCCUUGUAUCAAAUAAAAAAUUUUAAAUCAUAUUUAUGCCAUUCUUAAAAUUUAAUACCCAUUUUAAUCCCAUUGGGUAAAAAGUUAGAUUUUCUAUCUGAUAUGGAUAAAAUUAAUAUCCUUAAAUGAGUUUAAUGUUUUACACAAAUCUAUUUAAUGGGUUUAAUAUUUUUGUUUAAACCUUCAAAAAUAUUGAAUGAGCCCUCAAAACUUGAAUGGAUAACUUGACCAUUGGAUAAAUCUAUCAAAAUAUUUAACAUUUUUAUAAAUGUAAAACAAAACAAAAACAAAAAUAAUCGUAAAUAUAAUUUGAGUUUAAAUUUAUAAAUAAUAUGGAUGGUAGUACUUACAAGAGUAAGGAUACAGUUAUAAUGGUGUAAGUUUUACAUUUUUUUUAUAUCAAAAUUAAAUUUAUGUAUUAAAAUAAUAUUUAAUCUCAACCACUUUGAUCUAAUAAUAAAAAAAAAAAUGUAAAACUUAUAUUAACACAAGUGGAUCGCUCAUCUUACCUAUAAUGGUAUACAAUGAAAGACUCUCUCUAAAUUUUUAAUUAUCCACUUGAUAUUUUGCAAAUAAAUUUGUUGAACUUCAAAAUUCCUUCACUGAAUAAGGAAAUAAUCCAAUUGAAUUGCAUUCAAUUUACAUUCAUUGAAUAUGAAUGGUACAACAAAACCAAGUCCUAAUCCCCAUUUCUUAUCGAAUUAACCUAUUUACUUGCCGUCAAAGACUUUUUUUGUAUUAGAAAUUUUCGAAAAGAAGUUGACAAAUUUCACAAGUAAGACAUUAAAAGACAUUAAAUAAAGAUUUAAUUGAAAAAAAUAAAAAUAAAAAAUAGAAAGACAUGAUGAUUUGUUUGGAGUAAGAUGAUGGGUUUAUAGCAUUCAAAAAUUCAGUUUGAUAAUUACUCAUGAUGACGAGUAAAAAAAAUGUUUGGUAGGUUUCUCCUUUAUAUAGUUAUCUUAUAGAAAUGUCAAGUAAUCUGUAAGCUUCCAUAUAAAGUAGGCAGGUUUCUCUUUUAUCUAGUUAUCUUAUAGAAAUGUCAAGUAAUCUGUAAACUUCCAUAUAAAGUAGGUAGGUCUCCCUUUUAUCUAGUUAUCUUAUAGAAAUGUCAAGUAAUCUAUAAACUUGCAUAUAAGGUUUUGAUUGUGAGAUUGAUAUAAUAAAUUCAAAUAAAUAAUAUAAUCAAAAUAUUCUAUUUCUAAAAUGAACCUGCCCUGUUUUAAGAGAAAUGGCCAAUUAAUUGAACUAUAGAAGGCAACCAAAUCGACUUACUCUUUUCCUUUCAUGCAUGAAUCUAAGACUAUUGCUAUCUAUAUAAGAGACUUGUGAUCAGAUCACUAACAUGCAAGUAAAUUAUAACAAUCGCUUUUAUUUUUUUUUUAGUGAAUAUAUGAUAAGAAGUUCAUUAAAACUUCCAAUUAUUUACAAGAAGAAAUACAAAGAUAUGGCUAUGGAAAAGAGGUUUUCUCCUUUUGCAAUUUCUUAUUCAUAUUAUUGUUUCAGACAUAUAUAUAUUUCAUGAUGAUUUUACUGUUGGAUUUUCUUUUUUAGUAGUCAUCAACCUAAUUAAUAAAUAAAUAUGGAAUUGGACAGGUUCUUCUUCGGUCUUCUCAUUGCAGCUAUAGUAAGUGCAAUCAGAGCAGGUGAUGUUAGUUUUGAUAAGAAUUAUCACGUCACAUGGGGAAACUCUCAUGUGACUUCUCUAAACCAAGGAAGAGAAAUUCAUCUUUUAAUGGAUAAUACUUCAGGUUCGAUACAUGAAAACAACUAACUUAUACAUUUGCAUGCAUGUAUAAACGUAUUUAAAAAAGACACGUGCAUAUAUAUAAUCACUCGUAGCUAAACUUUUAAUAUAUGAAAAUGUAAAUUAAAAAACAAAGAAUCACUAAUGGUGGUUAUAUGAAUGCAGGGGCUGGGUUCCAGUCCAAUGUCGGGUAUGCUUCAGGGUUUUUCCAAAUGAAAAUAAAGACACCCAACAAGGAUUCUACUGGAGCUGUUACAACUUUUUAUGUACAUAUAUCUUUUUCUGUACUUUAAAAAAAAAUUCCUGUCUUCUCUAACAUGUAUUAGUUAAAGUAUAAUUUAAUGAACAUUUUGGUGGGUUGAUGGCAUGUAUGCAGUUGACCUCAAAUCCACAAAACACAGGAAACCAUGACGAGCUAGAUUUUGAGUUUUUGGGUAGCAAGGGUCCUCCUUUUACAUUGCAAACAAAUGUUUUCGCUAAUGAUAGAGGAGGCCGAGAGCAAAGGAUUCAUCUUUGGUUUGAUCCCACUGCUGAUUUUCAUACUUACGGAAUUCUUUGGAAUCAGCAUCAAAUAGUGUAAGCAAAAACUAUUCUCUUUAAACUAAUUUGAUUCUAAUUUAACUAGUUACAACAUUGCUUUGAAGUCCUUGGUUUUAUGUUUUGUGCAGGGUUCAUGCAUGGAAAUUAACAUUUCUAAUUUAAGUCUCUUAAAAAUAAUUUGAUUCUUUAACCCUAGUUUUCUUGCCUUUUCAGGUUUUAUGUGGAUAAUACACCCAUAAGAGUUUUCAAGAACAAUACAAAUAUCGGAGUAAAUUAUCCUUCACAACAAUUAGUGAUUCAAGGAAGCCUAUGGAAUGGAGAAGGUUGGGCAUCGGGUGGAAGAAAAAUUGAUUGGAGUCAAGCUCCAUUUAUAGCCAGUUUUCAAGGGUUCAACGUGGAUGGUUGUCAAUUCCACGACACUGCGACCAAAGCGCAAUGCUAUAAUUCUAACUUGUGGUGGAAUGGAAACAAAUAUUUGGAACUAGACCCUGCUCAGCACAAAGCAUUACAGUAUGCAAGAACCAAGUACAUGUUUCAAGACUACUGCACUUCUCCAAGUGGGAGGUACCAUAAAGAAUGCGGAAGUAAUAAAUAAAUGAAGAGAUAAAUAUGUAAAAAUUUCUGCUUAGUUGGAUUGUUUUAUAUGCAAUAUAUAGAUAGCAAAUAAAUUAGAAUAUUUUCAUUAAAAAAUUAUAAACAUUGGUAUUCUUAUCCUUGUACAAAAAUGGAAAUUAUCAUGUUUAUGCCCUUUAAAAAAAAAACAAAAUAAUAAAUAAACCAAACAAAUGUCAAAUUUGUUGGGUAUUUCAAUUUCAAAGUCAAUCCCAAAGUUGCUUUUCCAAUCACAAAUGAGAAUGACGUCAAGCCCAUCCUUCUGGGCCCACAAUGCGGUGCUAUAAAGGCACUUUCACGGAGUUGGGUAUCUUCUCCAUGAUGGUUGGAUCCGACAAGCCACAAUUUAUGAACUUUGUUAGAAGGAAAGGGUCGUUCAAUAAAUUGGUAAGUGAGGUAAACGAUCAAUUCAAAGCCUAUCCAAUAAAAGAUUUUAUAUUUCGUUCAAAAAAAUUUAUAAAAAUACUUAGAGCACCAAAACUAAAAAGCGCACAUGAACAUGUGGAGGUUAGAAAAGUUCUUUCUUGCACUGCUGUGCAACAUGUUUGUCUUUGUUUUCCCACGCUUCCAACUUUCUCUUCUGAAGCCCAACCCGUGUUUGUUAUUUUCCAAAGAUGAACCUUUAGGUACUCUCUCUCAGCCUUGCUGUUCCAAUGUAAAAGGAGUCUCCUCCUAUAUAUAAAAUGCUUAUUUGAUUUGGUUUGCGCAACCGUGUCACCCUCAAAAUGAUUUUAUAUUGAUUCGGUUGGCUUUAAUUUGAUGCCAUCGUCAUAGCACAUGGAAAUCGAUUUAUUUGUGUUUAGUCAUACAUUUACCAUUCGUGAAGAAUUCAACUUUCUUGGUUGUUUUUUUUAAUUUAAAGCCAAAUUAAUCUUGAGAUUGUUUCUGACGUCUGGAUUAAUUAGGCGCACACAAAUACAAUUUAUUGCGUUUGUUUGUUUCAAGAGUGAUAAAAUAGGUUUAUAUGCACCAAAAAUCAAAAUGUUUUUUUUAUAUACUCAACUUUUAUUCCUAAAGUAAAUAAUUGGUAAACAUGAUUCAAACUUUGAAAAACUGACUUAAUUCAUUAAAUUUAAAAUCGAACCUAAUUUAAUUUGAUUAAAAAAAUCAUCGACAUAAAUCUAUUUAACUCAAUUUUAAAAUAACUCUCAAGUUUAAAUUCAAAGUAACUUAAAAUUGAGAUGAUUUAAACUUAAAAAUAAAUCAAAAUGAUUUAUUUCAAACUCGCUUAAUUACCAUACCUCUUUAGGAUCUUUUGAACUUUGUGACUUCAAACUUGGGGGUUGUUAAUUCUUCAAGUUAAGGAAAAAGAAACAGAUUAAUGUGUUAGUCCUCCACAAUCAUUUGUAGUUUGAAGUUGCUUCCAAUUGUUCAAAGCAGUGCUAGAUAGAAUACGUGUAAGAGGUUUGUUGUAUGCGGAUAACAAUGAAGAAGUCAAUAGCGUGUAAGGAAGUUGGAUCAAAUGGUGAUACCUUAUACUUUUCUUUUCUUUUUUGGCUUUUUUCAUGGAUAGAUCUUAGUUGGGAAGCUGGCAGAUCAAAACAUCGAUCCCUAUAUAAACUCACUAAAUGAUAAUGCAGUCGUUACUAAAGAUAUGGAAAUGCAAUAUUUUUCCCUGCAGCUAUGUUUACUUUCAUCAAUAUUUUUCCUUCUUGGCUGCUGCAGCCUGUUUGCAAACACUACUGAUAUUGUUAGAUUUGAUGAAAACUAUGAAAUUACAUGGGGAAGUGAUCAUGUUUUGUCUUUAAAUCAAGGAAGUGAAAUUCAGCUCUCAAUGGAUAUCUCUUCCGGUUAUCUUCUUUCUCUCCUAACACUCACUUAAUAGCUAUAAAUACAAUAUAAUUUAUGGUACAGAACAUUAUGCAUGCUUUUUUUUUUUUUUACUUUUUAUUUUUUUUAAAGAAAAAAAGACAUAUUUUUCAUUUGACUUAGUUGAAAAUUAUGUCACAUGGUUUAUACCAUCUUAGAGAAUCUUUUCUUUUUCUUAAAAAAUCUUAAAUAUCAAUAUUUAUAUGAUACGUUUAUAGAGUACUAAAUUAUUAAUUUCAAUAAUCAAAAUUUAAUUUUUAAUAACUUUAAAUUAAUAUAUUAAAAAUAUUUAAACCCUAAUCAUUAAUAAGAAUCUAACACUAUAUGAAUAGAUACUAUCAUUGUUAUCACUUAUAGAGGAUUGAUUUAAUCCACUGUUCUAUCUUGAAGUGCGGAAUAUUGAGGUGUUUUAAAAUGUGGUGGAAUUAUUAAAAAAAAAAAACCAAUUACCAAAUAAAUCUUUGUGAUAUUCCCACUAUAUUUAACUUCUUCAUUUUUUUUUGUCACUAUUGUUUAUUGAAGAAAUUAAAAAUGAUCAAUUACAGGAGCUGGGUUUGGGUCGAAGCUGAGUUAUGUUAGUGGGUUUUUUCAUUUGAGGAUAAAGCUACCCAAUAAGGAUUCUGCUGGAGUUGUUACUGCUUUUUACGUAAAAUAUCUUUCAUUUCUGUUUAAUUUCCUCUUGAAUUUACCAAUAUUCUUAUUGAUUAUUUGUAAUGACAAUUAACAGCUGACAUCAAAAGGCAAGAGGCAUGACGAGCUGGAUUUUGAGUUCUUAGGUAAUAGAGAAGGCAAGCCGAUUAGCUUGCAAACCAAUGUGUUCGCAGAUGGUGUUGGGAAUAGAGAGCAAAGGUUUCUUCUCUGGUUUGAUCCUACUGCAGAUUUCCACGAUUACCAAAUUCUUUGGAACCAACACCAAAUUGUGUACGAAUAAUCUCCCCUUCUCCUUUUUCUGCAUUGCAUGCCUUAAUUAAUAUGAUUAUUUUCGCAUCAAUAAUUUUGUGAAAAUAUAUUUUUUUGAAUUUAAAAUUUAAUUAAAUUAAUUUAUGUACUCAUUUUUAAACCAUGAAAUCCAAUGAAUUUAAUAAUUAAAUAAAAACAUCUAUAAUUUUUUAUUUAUCAUCAAAUUACGCUUACGACUGAUUAUACCAUUAUAUUUGAAAUAUAUAUGGUUUUAAUUAAAUGUGAUGAGAACCUUUUCUCACUGCACUGAAUUGCCUAUCAAAAUGGACACUAUAUAUAUAUAACUAUAUGUAUAGGUAUAUUUAUGCAUAUGGAUGCCUGUGUUUACAGAUUCUACGUGGACGACAUCCCCAUCAGGGUGUUCAAGAACAACGACGAUAUUGGAGUUGGGUACCCAUCACAGCCGAUGAAAAUAGAAGUAAGUUUGUGGGAUGGAGAUAGCUGGGCAACCGAUGGAGGCCGAACAAAGACUAAUUGGAGCAUGGCACCUUUCAAAGCCCAUUUCCAAGGAUUUGAUAUAAGUGGUUGCCCAAUAAUUCAGAACUCGAGCAAUAUUCAACAAUGUUAUUCUCCCAAUUAUUGGUGGAAUUCAGAGAAAUAUUGGAAGUUAGACUCCAAGCAACAAGGAGAACUGCAAAAUGUAAGAAAGGAAUACAUGAACUAUGACUAUUGUUCGGAUAGGCCUAGAUACCCUGUUCCUCCUCCGGAGUGCCUUCAUCAAUAGCAGGCUAGAGUUCGUGGGGAUGGGUUAAUUUAAGUUGCUAUAUUAUUAAAUAACAAUGCAGCUGAUGUAAUAAAAGAAAAUGUUAAAUUGUUCGACUUUAUAAAAUUAUUAUAGUUAUUUUUUAAUACUUUUUAAUAAUACAUAUUUACCCAUUAUUAUUGUUACAUAUUCUACCAUGAAUUAGGAUCUAUUAUAGUUAGUAACAGCACAAGGUGACCAUUUCUCUCAUGGAAAACUCAUGCUUGAACCGAUCAAGUUACAAUAAAUUAACACAAAAAUACUUGAUUUUGGUUUUGAUUUGAUUGCUUCUUCUCUUUUACUAUAUUUUUCCCAUAAAACGAAAUUAAACAUAUCGAUGAAGAGAAAUGAUAAAAAGUUUAUUACAAUUAUCAAACAGUAAUAAAAAUUAAGGCAAUAUAAUAAAAUAAUAAAUUUUUAAAUUUUUAAUUUUUAAAUCGAUUAAUUCAUAUAAUUAUAUAAUAUUUUUUAUAUUCAAAUUCUAAGGUUUGUAAUUUCUUCUUAUACUCCUAUGCUAUCAUGUUACAAUCUCUUUAAAAAAUAAAUAAAUAAAUAAAUUUUCACCGGCCAAUUGCCUAAUUUAUAGAGUUGUCACAUGCUGAUUUGUUUUUAUUAUUCUAUAAUCGAACGGGCUUAUAAAGCCCAAUCCACGAUCCAAGAACUCCAUCUGUAAUUGGCCGAAAAAAGAGAAAUUGUAUAAUUAAAAAGAAAAAAGUCUUCACUGAUCAGGUAAUUUUUUUGAAAGCUACGGGGAAUGGGUAUUCCCAUGGCGGAUUUUCUAUAUCCAGUAGCAUAUUUUCAGUUUGCUACCCAGUAAUGGCCCUUCUUCAAAGACCCUUUUUUGUGCUACUUCUUAUACUAACUCAUCAAUUCAUGCAAUGUUGGAUUGCUUUUGGAUCGGUCAAUGAAGAAGGCAAAAAAACAAGAAGAAGAAUUCAAUGAGGAACUACUAUUGAAGCCGUUGCCAGAUCGCAAAGUGUUGGCCCAUUUCCAUUUUCGAAGCUCUGCCUCUCUUUCCACCUCUAAUGGCGGCCACCACCACUUAUUUCCCAAAGCCAUUUCUCAAUUGGUACUUUUUUAUUAUUUUAUUUUAUUUUUUCUUUUGGGUCACCGAGAAAUCUUAGGCUUUUUUUUUUUUUUUUGUAUUUAUGUUCUUUCAUGUUGCUUUUGUUUAAAUGGAGUUAGAGAAAAGUUAGCUUAGCCAAGUCAGGUGGCUUUCUUCAGUUUCUGAAUCUAUUAGUAACUUAGAAAGGUGGUAGGAAAGCCCAAGACUUAAAUCUUUCCUUUGCUCUUCAUACAUUUAUUAGCAAAAUAUUUAAUCAUUGUGUGGUGUAAAGAUGAUUUUGGGUUUACUUGCUUUUGAUCUGCUUUUGUGAAUGUUGAUUUUUUAAGUUUAACCUAAUGUUUGAAUAAAUAGUAAUAAAAUAAUAAAAAAAUAAUAUAUGUAUCAUUAUUUGGAUAAUUAAAAUUAAAAAAAAAAUUUUAUCAAUUAUUAUUUGGAUAAAUAAUAAUAAAAAAAUGAUUCAUUAUAAUAAUUUUUUUAUUUAUAACUUUUUAUUAUUUGUAAUUUUAAAAUAUUUUUGGAUUAUGAUACGUUUGUUAUCUUAUUUAACCUCAAAAUUACUGUUAUAUCAAUGAUUUUUAAUCAAGUGAGACAUAAAAUUAUUUUACAAAUAUGCAUUAAUGAAUUUUUUGAUCAUUGUCAAAAUUUCAACCACAAACAACAUUUCACAUAUUUUCCCUUUGAAAAUUUCGUGACCCAAACAUACCAGUAGGCAACGAUAAUUAGCAGACAGAUAAUAUAUGUGCCUCUAAAUGAUGAAAAUUAAAAGCAUAAUAAUAUUAUAACGUAACGUUUGAAUAAAUAUUAAUAAAAUAAUAAAAAAUAAUAUACAUAAUUAUUUGAAUAAUUAAAAUUAAUAAAAAAAUUCUAUUGAUUAUUAUUUGGAUAAAUAAUACAGAAGAAAAAAAAUGAUUCAUUAUAAUAAUUUUUUUAUUUAUUACUUUUUAUUAUUUGUAAUUUUAGAAUAUUUUUGGAUUAUGAUAUGUUUGUUAUUAUUCAGUCUCAAAAUUACUGUUAUAUCAAUAAUUUUUAAUCAAGUGAAACAUAAAGUUAUUUUAUAAACAUGCAUUAAUGAAUUUUUUAAUCAUUGUCAAAAUUUUAGCACAUUAUCACUUUGACGAUGUAUACAUAUAAAGCUAUUAAAUAUAAAAAAUACAAUCAUAUGAAAACAUUACAUACUAAUGAAUUAUAUGUCUUUUUUGCACCAAACAAAAAGUAAUAAUAUAUUACCAUAUAAUUAUCGAAUAUAAAUUUAUUUUACCAAAAAGAGAUAAUUUUAAAAAAAUUAUAAGAAAAUUGUGAUGUAGUUUUGUUUUUUUACUAAUUUUCUAGUAUUAAUAAAACAAUUAAAUAUAAUAAUCUUUUAAUAAAAAUAAAAUUUUUUCAAUUUUCAUUUUUUUAGCUUUUUUUUUUUUUAAAUUGGAGUAUUAAAAAAAUGAAGAUUACAAGAAAAAACAAAAGUUAUUGAGUUUUCACAUAUAUAUUUUUUAAAAUUAAAAAUUUAUCCAAACAAAAAUUUUUUUUCUGUUUUCAUCAUUAUUUUUUAUUUCUCUUUCUUUUUCUUUUCCUCUCCUUAAUCCAAUCAUACAGUAAGGAUCAGGUUAAGUAGGGAGUAAGGACUAUGGACUGGAGUUGUCAACUCAGGCUGAGUCAAUUUAAGUAGUUAGUGGACUGCAUCAAGUUACCAAAUAAUCGGGAUUUAAAAUUUUGAUUUAUUAGCUUUUGUUUCAUGAUGAAAAAUCGAUGCAUUAUAAGGUUAAAUCUUAUCAUUAUUGUCUUUGGAGCACUCAGUUUGGCCUGAGUCAAUUAAGGUAGGUCAUACAGGCUCUUUUUUUUCUUUAAAGCCUUCUAUUAGCUUAUUUACAUAAAAAAAUAUCAUUCAACCUAUCUCUGCAUUUUCCUAAUCAAGUUAUGAUUAGUUCAUUAUUUUCCGCAUUCAUAAAUAUACAUGAGAAUGAAAUGUUCUUAUGAACUCAUCCAACCCUUUCAGCAAUGUUAUGUCUGACAUGAAGUACAAAAUUGGCUACAAGUUUACCUGAAAAAUAUUAUGCACGAAUUGUGUAUGUCUUGCAUUAAUUUGUCUAUCUCUCUUUGUGUAAGGUAAAGAUAAGAGUCUUGAUAAACUUCCCAUUGUAGAUUUUACAAAGCGAGGAUCAGUACCCUUCUUAGGAGAAGAUGAAUAAACAUUCCUGCUCAUAUUUGGAAGAGGAACCUCCCACCGGCAUUGCAUUGGUGUAAUCAGGACAUAGAAUCAACGAACAGUCAAUGAUAAACCAUAAUGAAACAUAUAACCAACGAAUUGCUAUAACCUAAUGGAAAAGUGGAUGAUAUGGAACUGACUUAAAAAUGAGAAACGGGGUAGCCGUCAUGGAAAGCUAAGAUUCAUAAUAGGUUAGGGAAAAAGGAUGCCUUUUAAAUGAUACAGCUGUCUAAUCUUUUAAUGUUUACUGCAGUAUUUUUUAUUUCUACAUUUCGAGUAUUUGACAAACACCUUCUACCCCUCUCUCAUGUACAUACAUCUUAUUCAUCCAAAUCUAUUUGCCAUAUUGCAGAACCGAAUUCUAAUCUUUCCAUAACAUUCUACUUAACUUCCAUCAUUUACUUCAGCGUUUUACAUUACAUGACUGUUAAUAUUAGAAAUAUUCCAAAUAUUUCCUGAUUGUUGAAACCUCAAAAUGACAUCCAAUAUCAACAUAAUUGUUCUUUGGAUUAUUAUCCAAUCCGCUGCUAGUGCAGUGCAAACGCUCCACAAGCAGGAUUGUUUGAUGCAAUGCUUCCGUUUAACAAAAUGGACAUAGAAUUAGGAAGUUAACCUAACCGCUAAGUAAGGCAUGAAAAUUGAACAACCCCUUGAAGAGCUUUUGUGUUCUAAUAUUGUUGUAUAAGAUAAUGAUGUAUAUUCUUUUAUGACUAAGUCCUAAAGGAUGAUAGGAAAAGAAUAACGAAGAAAAGUUUGAAUACAAAGUCUUGACAACUAAUGCAGAUGUCUUACACUUCCAAAGAUCCAUUUCCCAGUAAGACAGCCAGAUAGCCCAUCCGUUGGUUGCAUUUAGAAUCAUUUAUAUCAUAAGGCUUCCAUUUUACAUCCCAAGCAACUUUUCCAUUGUGAGCUAGAAAGAGGACAGCUCUUGGCAGUGCAAUGUCACCUGGAAUAGAAGAACCGGGGCUGAACUCGAACGAAUUACUAUCUAAAAGAUUAUUCGGCACAGUAGCAUCCUGCCCAGAGUUGUAACAAAUUUGUUGGUUUAUUGUCAAUGAAGAUUCUGUUUCUUCAUUUUGAGUCAAUAAUGGGAGGCAUUUACCAUCACUAAUAGUUUUUGCUCGUGCCUUACUUUUCAAUUUUCUACUUUCCACAGAUGUAUUAGGGGCUGCAUCAGAUGAAAAUGCUGCCUCUUUGUCACCUUUUUGUUUUUUAUGAUGAUUCUUAUCUGAAACAUUUUCUUGCGUAUUUCCAGGAGCGUUGUCUAUUGCAACUGGCUCAAACGAACCUUCUGGGUACUGAACAGGAAGAGGUUGGAAAGGCUCGUCAUUCUAAUUGCUGUUAGGAGAUUCACCAAUUGAUUUGUUUGUAGGUCUAGCUGUUGGCCUCUUAACCUGAUCUAGUUGAGAUUCAACUAUUGGUUUCUUUCCAGGUCUUCCUCUAGGCCUCUUUGACGAGCUCUCCCCCAUGGCCUUUGUAUUUUGAGAUCUCCGUUUUGGCUUUUUCUUUAACAGAGGAGCUUCUUCCUCAUUCACCCCAACAUUUAGCAUACACCAUAUUUGAAUGAUGCCUCUACCAGUAAGUGGGGUGCCCAUCUUGUGAUAAUAAGAUUCAGGAGGAUGAGCAGCGACAGCAAUGAACUGGGAAAAAGAAGGCAAAAAAAGAAAAAGACAAAACAAGGACAGCCUCGCAAGAUUGCAGCAUUAAGAUGGUGAUAAUUAUUAUUAAAAAUCCUACUUAUUAAGCAUGCAGGCAAUAUUUUAAACCACUGUUUCAGAACAAAUCUAGGCUUUUGUCUCUUUCAUUUGAAAUAACCAAGUAGAUAGAGGUUUGGGCUAUAAUGAUAAAUUGAAGGUGGAAUACACGAAAAAAAAAAAAAAGAAUAAAAGGUUCCCAGAAGUGGGUUAGGGAUUUGGGAGGGGAGAAGUGGGGAAGUACCUCACAUUUGACAGGACUGUUAGGAUUCUCAUGAACUCUAGGACACCAUUAAUCUAAUGCCCAAACAGACCCUCCAACAUACAUCACGAAGUCCUUGCUGCAAGAUGAUUGUACUUUAAUCAUGUCAUUCAAUAAAUGUAUAAAACAUACCAUUUUGCAGCGGUGUUGGCUUCACAAAUAAAAAUAUUUGGGUGCCCAUACACAGAUCUUAAAUAAGAGGAGCAAUAAUAACACCAAGUUCUUAUCUUAUAACAUGUAUAUGCAUCACAGAUCAACAAGAGCAAACACCAUCCAUAACAUGUUGUUCAUAAGAGUUAAAAUUUUUUAAACAAAGGAGGAAUCCUGUAGGAUAGCAGAACUUUUAUGGUCAAGAAUAAAACUAAGACCUUUUCCAAACCCACAGUACACCAUCCUUUUACCACCUAAACCCAAUAACAUUGGAAACUGAAAUUGCUCAAACCAAAAUCCAAUCUAACAUGGAUUCUGGAGAUGCAUUACUUACUCGUAGUCCUUCCUGCUGCUUCCAUAAGAAAAAAAGAAAGAAAAAAAAGAAAAAAAAAACAACAAUGAGUAUUAACAGAAUAUUAUGCUAUAACAAGUAAAAACUAUUCCAGAAGAUUUAUGCAGUCAUUGAACAUUCCUCCAUGUGAGGGACCCAAAAUAAAAAGAUUUUCUUUCACCUUGGGAACAGUUGCUGAUGAAAACUGAGGCAAGUUUAUGCCACCAGAAACAUCUUUACCCGGUGAGUCUCCUAGUUCGCUAGCAAACCCAAUGAUCCUCGGUUCAUAAUUAAAAUGCCUCCAUUCCCUAAAAGCAUGUUUAAUAGUAAAUUAAGAACUUGUACAUAUCUAUAUUGGACAGAUAAAACUAACAUAAAAAAAAAAAAAAUACCCGACGUACAUCAGCAAAGUCAAUUCAAUCGCAUUUGGAAGUUCUAAAUGCACAAAGAUGAGCAUAAAGUUACCUUAAGAAAGUGAUUGAAGAAGAGAAUCUCCGGAUAUCAGUUUCAUCGAGACCAUCAAUCUUGGGUUCUUCACAAAUCUAGAGAUUGUAUCCAUUACCCUAAAAUGUUUCUCGAUUGAAUAACCAAAUAUAGAGAACCUAACUCCAGAAUCACCAUUAAAUGGUGGUUCUUCCAUUUUUCUGUUUCUUUUUUCCUACAUGUAACACAUCUGUUCGUCAAUCACUCAAAUAUGAGACAUAUAAUGCUAGAGAAGUUUUUUUUUUUUCUGUUAGUAGGAGAACAAACGUCCGUAUAAAGGAAAGAAAGACAGCGGAAUUAGAACCUACGUCCAUAAGUCUUUUUUAAAAUCUCUUAAUCAUUACAUCAAAAGAAAAGACAUAUAAUGUUAGAGAGUUGAUUAUAAGAAAUAAAACGUAAACUAUAACUGAAUGCUAAAUUUGAUACUUUAACUUAAAAAAAAAUUCAAUUCAAAAAAUUGUUGGAGCCUAACUCUGAGUUGCAAUCAACAAUAUAACUUAAUUUAAACAAAAUAAAUGUAAUAUGGAACAUCACAUUUAAUAAUAAUUACGACGCAUUAACUUGAAAUUCUUUCUAAACCUUUUUCAUCAGUAAACUUAAGUUUUUCCCUCUUAACCAAAAACAACAAAAAAUAAAAUAAAAUAAAAUCCAUGAAUUUCACAUAUUUUUCCUCUCAAAAUUUCGUGACCCAAACAUACCAGUAGGCAACGAUAAUUAGCUCAGAUGACCUGAUUUUAUUUCAAAGCAGACAGAUAAUAUAUGUGCCUCUAAAUGAUGAAAAUUAAAGGCAUAAUAAUAUUAUAUUUAAAGACAAAUAUGAUUUAUGCCUUAAAUCCAUUAUUUUAAAAAUUAAUAUUUAUGUGUAGCUUAUUCUUUGCCUUUAAUUAUUGGUUUUGUUGUAGUGUAUAAAAAAUAAUGUAUAUUAUAAUUUGAGUUAUAAUCGACUAAGUUUGGGCUUUGAAUGCUAGUCUCAAGUUUCAAUUUACAUUUUAAAAGAACUCGAAGACGUCAAAGGAUAGAGUAUGGGGCAGGUAGAAUAUUUUUCUUUUUUAUUCUCAAAUUUUUAUAUUAUAUUAAUUCUUAUAUCUAUAUUCAAUGAGAAUUUUAAAUUUAUUCACAUUUUUACCUACGAAAAUAUUUAAUUGAUGCAAAUAAUUCUUAUACUCUUAGCUUUUUUAAAAAAUAAAUUUUACCUUUUAAUUUAUUUUAAUUUUUAUCUUACAUAUUCAUAUAAUUUUUUUAUAAAUAUAUUAAUAUAUAUUUAAAAUAAAAUAUAUGUUAAUUUUAAUUAAUCUAAAAUAAAAUUUUAUAUUAUUUAAUAAUAAAUUUAUUUACUAAAUAUAUAGGCAACGGGUACAAAAUAUGUGCUAUAUUACUUGUCUCUAUCCUUGUAUCAAAUAAAAAAUUUAAAAUCAUAUUUAUCCCAUUCUUAGAAUUUAAUACCCAUUUUAAUCCCAUUGGGUAAAAAGUUGAAUUUUCUAUCUGAUAUGGAUAAAAUUAAUAUCCUUAAAUGAGUUUAAUGUUUUACACAAAUCUAUUUAAUGGGUUUAAUAUUUUUGUUUAAACCUUCAAAAAUAUUGAAUGAGCCCUCAAAACUUGAAUGGAUAACUUGACCAUUGGAUAAAUCUAUCAAAAUAUUUAACAUUUUUAUAAAUGUAAAACAAAACAAAAACAAAAAUAAUCGUAAAUAUAAUUUGAGUUUAAAUUUAUAAAUAAUAUGGAUGGUAGUACUUACAAGAGUAAGGAUACAGUUAUAAUGGUGUAAAUUUUACAUUUUUUUUAUAUCAAAAUUAAAUUUAUGUAUUAAAAUAAUAUUUAAUCUCAACCACUUUGAUCUAAUAAUAAAAAAAAAAAAAUGUAAAACUUAUAUUAACACAAGUGGAUCGCUCAUCUUACCUAUAAUGGUAUACAAUGAAAGACUCUCUCUAAAUUUUUAAUUAUCCACUUGAUAUUUUGCAAAUAAAUUUGUUGAACUUCAAAAUUCCUUCACUGAAUAAGGAAAUAAUCCAAUUGAAUUGCAUUCAAUUUACAUUCAUUGAAUAUGAAUGGUACAACAAAACCAAGUCCUAAUCCCCAUUUCUUAUCGAAUUAACCUAUUUACUUGCCGUCAAAGACUUUUUUUGUAUUAGAAAUUUUCGAAAAGAAGUUGACAAAUUUCACAAGUAAGACAUUAAAAGACAUUAAAUAAAGAUUUAAUUGAAAAAAAUAAAAAUAAAAAAUAGAAAGACAUGAUGAUUUGUUUGGAGUAAGAUGAUGGGUUUAUAGCAUUCAAAAAUUCAGUUUGAUAAUUACUCAUGAUGACGAGUAAAAAAAAUGUUUGGUAGGUUUCUCCUUUAUAUAGUUAUCUUAUAGAAAUGUCAAGUAAUCUGUAAGCUUCCAUAUAAAGUAGGCAGGUUUCUCUUUUAUCUAGUUAUCUUAUAGAAAUGUCAAGUAAUCUGUAACCUUCCAUAUAAAGUAGGUAGGUCUCCCUUUUAUCUAGUUAUCUUAUAGAAAUGUCAAGUAAUCUAUAAACUUGCAUAUAAGGUUUUGAUUGUGAGAUUGAUAUAAUAAAUUCAAAUAAAUAAUAUAAUCAAAAUAUUCUAUUUCUAAAAUGAACCUGCCCUGUUUUAAGAGAAAUGGCCAAUUAAUUGAACUAUAGAAGGCAACCAAAUCGACUUACUCUUUUCCUUUCAUGCAUGAAUCUAAGACUAUUGCUAUCUAUAUAAGAGACUUGUGAUCAGAUCACUAACAUGCAAGUAAAUUAUAACAAUCGCUUUUAUUAUUUUUUUUAGUGAAUAUAUGAUAAGAAGUUCAUUAAAACUUCCAAUUAUUUACAAGAAGAAAUACAAAGAUAUGGCUAUGGAAAAGAGGUUUUCUCCUUUUGCAAUUUCUUAUUCAUAUUAUUGUUUCAGACAUAUAUAUAUUUCAUGAUGAUUUUACUGUUGGAUUUUCUUUUUUAGUAGUCAUCAACCUAAUUAAUAAAUAAAUAUGGAAUUGGACAGGUUCUUCUUCGGUCUUCUCAUUGCAGCUAUAGUAAGUGCAAUCAGAGCAGGUGAUGUUAGUUUUGAUAAGAAUUAUCACGUCACAUGGGGAAACUCUCAUGUGACUUCUCUAAACCAAGGAAGAGAAAUUCAUCUUUUAAUGGAUAAUACUUCAGGUUCGAUACAUGAAAACAACUAACUUAUACAUUUGCAUGCAUGUAUAAACGUAUUUAAAAAAGACACGUGCAUAUAUAUAAUCACUCGUAGCUAAACUUUUAAUAUAUGAAAAUGUAAAUUAAAAAACAAAGAAUCACUAAUGGUGGUUAUAUGAAUGCAGGGGCUGGGUUCCAGUCCAAUGUCGGGUAUGCUUCAGGGUUUUUCCAAAUGAAAAUAAAGACACCCAACAAGGAUUCUACUGGAGCUGUUACAACUUUUUAUGUACAUAUAUCUUUUUCUGUACUUUAAAAAAAAAUUCCUGUCUUCUCUAACAUGUAUUAGUUAAAGUAUAAUUUAAUGAACAUUUUGGUGGGUUGAUGGCAUGUAUGCAGUUGACCUCAAAUCCACAAAACACAGGAAACCAUGACGAGCUAGAUUUUGAGUUUUUGGGUAGCAAGGGUCCUCCUUUUACAUUGCAAACAAAUGUUUUCGCUAAUGAUAGAGGAGGCCGAGAGCAAAGGAUUCAUCUUUGGUUUGAUCCCACUGCUGAUUUUCAUACUUACGGAAUUCUUUGGAAUCAGCAUCAAAUAGUGUAAGCAAAAACUAUUCUCUUUAAACUAAUUUGAUUCUAAUUUAACUAGUUACAACAUUGCUUUGAAGUCCUUGGUUUUAUGUUUUGUGCAGGGUUCAUGCAUGGAAAUUAACAUUUCUAAUUUAAGUCUCUUAAAAAUAAUUUGAUUCUUUAACCCUAGUUUUCUUGCCUUUUCAGGUUUUAUGUGGAUAAUACACCCAUAAGAGUUUUCAAGAACAAUACAAAUAUCGGAGUAAAUUAUCCUUCACAACAAUUAGUGAUUCAAGGAAGCCUAUGGAAUGGAGAAGGUUGGGCAUCGGGUGGAAGAAAAAUUGAUUGGAGUCAAGCUCCAUUUAUAGCCAGUUUUCAAGGGUUCAACGUGGAUGGUUGUCAAUUCCACGACACUGCGACCAAAGCGCAAUGCUAUAAUUCUAACUUGUGGUGGAAUGGAAACAAAUAUUUGGAACUAGACCCUGCUCAGCACAAAGCAUUACAGUAUGCAAGAACCAAGUACAUGUUUCAAGACUACUGCACUUCUCCAAGUGGGAGGUACCAUAAAGAAUGCGGAAGUAAUAAAUAAAUGAAGAGAUAAAUAUGUAAAAAUUUCUGCUUAGUUGGAUUGUUUUAUAUGCAAUAUAUAGAUAGCAAAUAAAUUAGAAUAUUUUAAUUAAAAAAUUAUAAACAUUGGUAUUCUUAUCCUUGUACAAAAAUGGAAAUUAUCAUGUUUAUGCCCUUUAAAAAAAAAACAAAAUAAUAAAUAAACCAAACAAAUGUCAAAUUUGUUGGGUAUUUCAAUUUCAAAGUCAAUCCCAAAGUUGCUUUUCCAAUCACAAAUGAGAAUGACGUCAAGCCCAUCCUUCUGGGCCCACAAUGCGGUGCUAUAAAGGCACUUUCACGGAGUUGGGUAUCUUCUCCAUGAUGGUUGGAUCCGACAAGCCACAAUUUAUGAACUUUGUUAGAAGGAAAGGGUCGUUCAAUAAAUUGGUAAAUGAGGUAAACGAUCAAUUCAAAGCCUAUCCAAUAAAAGAUUUUAUAUUUCGUACAAAAAAAUUUAUAAAAAUACUUAGAGCACCAAAACUAAAAAGCGCACAUGAACAUGUGGAGGUUAGAAAAGUUCUUUCUUGCACUGCUGUGCAACAUGUUUGUCUUUGUUUUCCCACGCUUCCAACUUUCUCUUCUGAAGCCCAACCCGUGUUUGUUAUUUUCCAAAGAUGAACCUUUAGGUACUCUCUCUCAGCCUUGCUGUUCCAAUGUAAAAGGAGUCUCCUCCUAUAUGUAAAACGCUUAUUUGAUUUGGUUUGCCCAACCGUGUCACCCUCAAAUGAUUUUAUAUUGGUUCGGUUGGCUUUAAUUUGAUGCCUUCGGCAUAGCACAUGGAAAUCGAUUUAUUUGUGUUUAGUCAUACAUUUACCAUUCGUGAAGAAUUCAACUUUCUUGGUUGUUAUUUUAAUUUAAAGCCAAAUUAAUCUUGAGAUUGUUUCUGACGUCUGGAUUAAUUAGACUCAUACAAAUACAAUUUAUUGCGUUUGUUUGUUUCAAGAGUGAUAAAAUAGGUUUAUAUGCACCAAAAAUCAAAAUGUUUUUUUUAUAUACUCAACUUUUAUUCCUAAAGUAAAUAAUCGGUAAACUUGAUUCAAACUUUGAAAAACUGAUUUAAUUCAUUAAAUUUAAAAUCCAACCUAAUUUAAUUUGAUUAAAAAAAUCAUCGAUAUAAAUCUAUUUAACUCAAUUUUAAAAUAACUCUCAAGUUUAAAUUCAAAGUAACUUAAAAUUGAGAUGAUUUAAACUUAAAAACAAAUCAAAAUGAUUCAAUCCAAACUCACUUAAUUACCAUACCUCUUUAGGAUCUUUUGAACUUUGUGACUUCAAACUUGGGGGUUGUUAAUUCUUCAAGUUAAGGAAAAAGAAACAGAUUAAUGUGUUAGUCCUCCACAAUCAUUUGUAGUUUGAAGUUGCUUCCAAUUGUUCAAAGCAGUGCUAGAUAGAAUACGUGUAAGAGGUUUGUUGUAUGCGGAUAACAAUGAAGAAGUCAAUAGCGUGUAAGGAAGUUGGAUCAAAUGGUGAUACCUUAUACUUUUCUUUUCUUUUUUGGCUUUUUUCAUGGAUAGAUCUUAGUUGGGAAGCUGGCAGAUCAAAACAUCGAUCCCUAUAUAAACUCACUAAAUGAUAAUGCAGUCGUUACUAAAGAUAUGGAAAUGCAAUAUUUUUCCCUUGCAGCUAUGUUUACUUUCAUCAAUAUUUUUCCUUCUUGGCUGCUGCAGCCUGUUUGCAAACACUACUGAUAUUGUUAGAUUUGAUGAAAACUAUGAAAUUACAUGGGGAAGUGAUCAUGUUUUGUCUUUAAAUCAAGGAAGUGAAAUUCAGCUCUCAAUGGAUAUCUCUUCCGGUUAUCUUCUUUCUCUUCUAACACUCGCUUUAAUAGCUAUAAAUAUACAUAACAUUAUGCAUGCCUUUUUUUUUUAAAAAAGAAAAAGAAAAACAGGCAUUUAUGUUUUAUUUUGACUUAGUUGAAAAUUUUGUUACAUGGUUUAUACCAUCUUAGAGAAUCUUUUAUUUUUCUUAGAAAUCUUAAACGUCAAUAUAAUAUUUAUAUGAUACGUUUGUAGAAUAUUGAAUUUUUAAUUUUAAUAAUCAAAAUUCAAUCUUUAAUAACUUUAAAUUAAUAUAUAAAUAAAUUUAAACCCUAAUCAUUAAAAAUAAGAAUAUAAUACUAUAUUAAUAGAUAAUAUCGUUGGUAUCACUUAUAAAGGAUUGAUUUAAUCCACCGUUCUAUCUUGACGUGUGGAAUAUUGAGGUGUUUUAAAAUGUGGUGGAAUUAUAAAAAAAAAAAACCAAUUACCAAAUAAAACUUUGUGAUAUUCUUACUAUAUUUAACUUCUUCAUUUUUUUUUAUCACUAUCGUUUAUUGAAGAAAUUAUAAACAAUCAAUUACAGGAGCUGGGUUUGAGUCGAAGCUGAGUUAUGGUAGUGGAUUUUUUCAUUUGAGGAUAAAGCUACCCAAUAAGGAUUCUGCUGGAGUUGUUACUGCUUUUUACGUAAAAUAUCUUUCAUUUCUGUUUAAUUUCCUCUUGAAUUUACCAAUAUUCUUAUUGAUUAUUUGUAAUGACAAUUAACAGCUGACAUCAAAAGGCAAGAGGCAUGACGAGCUGGAUUUUGAGUUCUUGGGUAAUAGAGAAGGCAAGCCGAUUAGCUUGCAAACCAAUGUGUUCGCAGAUGGUGUUGGGAAUAGAGAGCAAAGGUUUCUUCUCUGGUUUGAUCCUACUGCAGAUUUCCACAAUUACCAAAUUCUUUGGAACCAACACCAAAUUAUGUACGAAUAAUCUCCCCUUCCCCUUUUUCUGCAUUGCAUGCCUUAAUUACUAUGAUUAUUUUCGCACCAAUAAUUCUGCAAAAAUAUAUCUUUUUGAAUUCAAAAUUUAACUCAAUUAAUUCAUGUACUUAUUUUAAAAAAUAAAAUCUAAUAAAUUUAAUAUUCAACUUUGAACAUCUAUAAAUUUUAUUUAUCGUCAAAUUAUGCUUAUCACUUACUGUAUGAUCAUAUUUAAAGCAUAUGUAUCUUUUAGUUAAAUAUGACGAGAAUCUCUUCUCAUUGCACUGAAUUGCAGACACUAUAUAUAUAACUAUAUGUAUAGGUAUAUUUAUGCAUAUGGAUUCCUGUGUUUACAGAUUCUACGUGGACGACAUCCCGAUCAGGGUGUUCAAGAACAAUGAAGAUAUUGGAGUUGUGUACCCGUCAAAGCCGAUGAAAAUAGAAGCAAGCUUGUGGGAUGGAGAUAGCUGGGCAACCGAUGGAGGCCGAACAAAGACUAAUUGGAGCAUGGCACCCUUCAAAGCCCAUUUCCAAGGAUUUGAUAUAAGUGGUUGCUCAAUAAUUCAGAACUCAAGCAAUAUUCAACAGUGUUUUUCUCCCAAUUAUUGGUGGAAUUCAGAGAAAUAUAGGAAGUUAGAUUCCAAGCAACAAGGAGAACUGCAAAAUGUAAGAAAGGAAUACAUGAACUAUGACUAUUGUUCGGAUAGGCCUAGAUACCCUGUUCCUCCUCCGGAGUGCCUUCAUCAAUAGAGUUCAUGAUCAUGGGUUAAUUUAAGUUGCUAUAUUAAAUAAUAAUGCAGCUGAUGUAAUAAAAGAAAAUGUUAAAUUGUUCCACUUUAUAAAAUUAUUAUAGUUACUUUUUAAUACUUUUUGAGUGAUGAGUUAUUUAAAAAUCAAGUAAUAUAAAAUCUAAGGUGUAAUUUAGUUGAUUUGAAAUAACAUUCAAAUUAUAAUAUUUAUAAUUUUUUAAUAAUGUAUUUACCUCUUUUGAUUUAUAUAUGUAUUUAAUAAUGCAUAUUUACCCAUGAGUUAGGAAGUAGAUUUUUAUUACAUUAUCUUCCAUGAAUUAGGAACUAGAAUAGUUAGUAACAGCAUAAGGUGACCAUUUCUCUCUUCUAACACUCACGCUUGAAAUGAUCAAGUUCCAAUAAAUUAACACAAAAUACUUAAUUUUGGUUUUGAUUUGAUUGCUUAUUCUCUUUUAUUAUAUUUUUUCCAUAAAAUAAAAUUAGACAUAUUGAUGAAGAGAAAUGAUAAGAAAUUCAUUGCAAUUAUCAAGCAAUAAUAAAAAUUAAGGCAAUAUAAUAAAAUGAUAAAAUUUAAAAUUUCAGGCAUAUAAAUUUAAUUACAUUAAUUCAUAUAAUUAUAUAAUAUAUUUGAGAUUUAAAUUUUUAUAUUUAUAAAUUUUUAUUGUCGUUUAUAAAAAGAAAAAUAAAAUUUCACCGGCCAAUAUGUUUUUAUUAUCCUAAAAUCGAAUGGGCUUACAAAGCCCAAUCCACAAUCCAAGAUCUGCAUCUGUGAUUGGCCGAAGAAAAGAGAAUAAUUAAAAUGAAAAAAGUCUUCACUGAUCAGGUAUUUUAUUGAAAGUUCUGGGGACCGGUAGCUCACAUGGCGGAUUUCGUAUAUAAAGCAGCAUAGUUUCAGUUUGCUAAGAAAACCCAGUAAUGGCCCUUCUUCAAAGACCAUUUUUUGUGCUACUUCUUGUACUAACUCAUCAAUUCAUGCAAUAUUGGAUUGCUUUUGGAUCGGUCAAUGAGGAAGGCCAGAAACAAGAAGAAGAAUUCAAUGAGGAACUACUAUUGAAGCCGUUGCCAGAUCGCAAAGUAUUGGCCCAUUUCCAUUUUCAAAGCUCUGCCCCUCCUUCCACAUCUAAUGGCCGUCACCACCACAUAUUUCCUAAAGCCAUUUCUCAAUUGGUACUUUUUUAUUAUUUUAUUUUAUUUUUUCUUUUGGGUCACCGAGUUAUCUUGGGUUUUUUUUUUUUGGGUAUUUAUGUUCUUUCAUGUUGGUUUUGUUUAAAUGGAGUUAGAGAAAAGUUAGCUUAGCCAAGUCCAAGUGGCUUUCUUCAGUUUCUGAAUCUAUUGGUAACUUAGAAAGGUGGUAGAAAAACCCAAGACUUGAAAUCUUUCCUUUACUCUUCAUACAUUUAUAAGCAAAAUAUUUAAUCAUUGCGUGGUGUAAAGAGGAUUUUGGGUUUACUUGCUUUUGGUCUGCUUUUGUCUGUAUGUUGAUUUUUUAGGCUUAAGGAUCAGGUUAAGUAAGGAGUAAGGGCUAUGGACUGGAGUUGUCAACUCAGGUUGAGUCAAUUUAAGUAGUUAGUAGACUGCAUCAAGUUACCAAAUAAUCGGGAUUUAAAAUUUCGAUUUAUUAGCUUUUGUUUCAUGAUGAAAGAUCGAUGCAUUAUAUUUGAGGUUAAAUCUUAUCAUUAUUAUCUUUGGAGCACUCAGUUUGGCCUGAGUCAAUUAAGGUAGGUCAUACUGGUUCUCUCCUUUUUUUAAAGCCUUCUAUUAGCUUAUAUACUUAAAAAAUAUCAUUCAGCCUAUAUCUGCAUUUUCCUAAUCAAGUUAUGAUUAAUUCAUUAUUUUCUGCAUUCAUAAAUAUACAUGAGAAUGAAAUGUUCUUAUGAACUCAUCCAACCUUUUCAGCAAUGUUAUGGCUGACAUGAAGUACUAAAUUGGCUAGAAGUUUACCUGAAAAAUAUUACGCACGAAUUGUGUAUGUCUUGCAUUAAUUUGUCUAUCUCUCUUUGUGUAAGGUAAAGAUAAGAGUCUUGAUAAACUUCCUUUUGUAGAUUUUAAGAAAUUAACAACAAAGAUAAGUAGCUUUGUUGUAGGUAUUAAAAGAUUAACAAUUACUCUAGUUGUUUUUAUAUAGGGACACUGGCCCUCCCUUGUACCCAAAAAAAAUUAACAAUUAAGGUAAGUCUUUGCAGUAUUUGAAAACAGUGCAUGACGAUGAAUAUAUUUGAACAGGUUCAGAAAUUUCGAGUUAAGGAAAUGGAGCUGUCUUUCACACAAGGUCGCUGGAACUAUGAAAGCUGGGGUGGAUUUGAUCCCAUACCAAGCAGCAAUGCAAAGCCCCCUGGAGUUGAGUUAUGGGCUGUCUUUGAUGUCCCACAACAUCAGAUUGAUGCUUCCUGGCAGAAUUUAACACACACUCUCUCAGGUCUUUUUUGUGCCUCAAUCAACUUCCUAGAGUCUACUACAACUUAUUCUGCCCCAGAAUGGAGUUUUCCACCCGCUUCAGGCAAUCUGAGGUAUGGUACAUUGCCCCGUGAAGCUGUUUGCACAGAGAAUUUAACUCCAUGGCUGAAGUUGCUUCCUUGUCGGGACAAAGCUGGGAUUGCUGUGUUACUGGAUAGGCCAUCAAUUUACCGAGGAUUUUAUCAUUCUCAGCGGUUGCAUUUGACCUCAACUGGAUCUGGUUCAGAGGGGAUGGUUUCGGGCAUCAUAUUAGAACAGACACUUACAGUUGUACUCCAGCCUAAUAGUCAAAGGGCCGGUAUGGCCUAUGCUAGUGAAAGACAUAUUCAACCAAGCUGGUCUCUUACUUCAAUUUUUGGGAAACAAGUUAGUGGAACAUGUGUUCUUGCCAAGUCUAGUAAUGUGUAUCUUCUGCUUGACAGGGGCUUAGUUGCCGAACUAGAGCAUCUACAUAAAGAAAAUGAAAAGUCUGCAGAAAAUGGUUUUACCUCACAGAAUUUUUGGACUAAGCCCAGCUUUGAGUUGUCUGCUGAUCCAGACAGGAUAUUUAUAGAAGAAAACAGUUUGCAUAGCAAGGGCUCAUCUGUUCUGUACAAGUUCCAAGUUGAGAAAUACAGUGAAUCUGAGCCAUUUGAUUUGAGCCUUACUUGGAAGAUUCCUGUAGUUUGGUUGAGUCAACAAGCACCGUUACAUGCUAGUAGGUUUUUGAUGGGAAGUGGGAAUGAGAGGGGUGCCAUUGCCAUUUCCUUAAAAUCUACACAAUUGAGUGAGGGAUUCAUGGGUGCUAAUGCUGAUGAUGAAAGGUGUGACUUGCAAGUCAAUGUUUUUCAAGUUGUGCCUUGGUAUGUCAAGGUCUAUUUCCAUUCUCUGCAAGUGUUUGUUAAUCAACAACCUAAGGCUAUUUCAGAUAUUAUUGAGAAGAUACAUGUUUCACCUUCCAAAGACAAAGUGUCUCCUGGCGUGAUGGAGAUGGUUCUGAAACUUCCUUGCAAAGUGAACUCAGCUGCUUUAACCAUAGAGUUUGAUAAGGUAUGCUUUUCAUUAUGUCUAUUUAGCUAUUAGUUGAUAGUUUUAUAAAUUCUAUUCAAUCAACACAAGUUAUUUGUUUUACAUGAGAAGUGAAUUUGUUAUUAAGGAUUUGUUAAAACUUCUACUGUGGUCUGUAAAGGUAAGAUGUUAGGCUAAGUAAUAUCAGCACUAAGUAUUGGUGAGUUCUGCUGCUGCGUUGUAGUCCAAUUUUUUUGCUUAAGACAGAAAAUCUGUUUGUGUAAAAGCUACAUCUGAUAAAGUAGCCAUAUAAGAUAGCAAAUUGAAUACCCUGAGUAUACCUAAUACUGACAGUCAGUGUAUCUGAAUUCAGACUUUGUCCAUAAAUGUUUGGAAGUUUGAACAAAAACCAAUUAACUAAUUCCAUUUGAUACAGGCAAUCCUGAAACUUCUACCUAUCCCAAUCUAUAGAUUCUCAACCCACUGUUUAGUCCUUGAGCUGGAUGCAUAGGAUGAAUCCCACCGAUACCUUCAAAUUAUAUAAUCUUUGCCUAUGAAAAAAAAGGAUAAAUAUUGCAGAAACUGCUGCUUCAUUAUAAAAUGGAAAAGUAGCUGCUAUCCUGAUAUACCACUAUCAAUCUAAGACAUUCUCUGCUUUUGGAUAAUGACUAUCUGUUUUGAUGAAAUUAAUUAUUUUGAACUGAAACAAAAAUAGCAUGCUUCUUGCUUGAUGAAUGAUGACUUUAGUAUGAUUUCUGCUUCUUGGGGUAUUGUUGAUUAGUUGAUCCUCUAUUUUGAUAUGUCUGAAUAGGGUUUUUUACAUAUUGAUGAAUACCCCCCUGAUGCUAAUCAAGGAUUUGACAUACCAUCAGCUAUUAUAAGCUUUCCCAACUUCCAUGCAAGCAUGAUUUUUCUCAAAGAUGACUCUGUGAACAAGUCACCCUUGUUGUCAAAGUUUCAGGUAUUAACCUCUUGAUAUUUCUAGUUCUAAACAUGAUCAAUUUGUAUUCUUCUUCUCAUUUGAUAUUGACUUGAUUUGUCAUGCAGGAAAAGAGUCCUGUAAUGUCUUACACAGAAGCAUUACUGGUACCUUUGACAACUCCUGAUUUUAGCAUGCCUUACAAUGUUAUCACAAUCACGUGUACAGUGUUUGCAUUGUAUUUUGGAUCAUUGCUUAAUGUACUCCGAAGGCGUGUUGCUGAGGAGGAGAGAUUUCUUAAAGAAAAAGGUAAAUUUAUUUCAUGAAAUAGGUCAUUAUCAGUUCUCUUGAGAAUGUGGUUUUUUUAAUUAUGGUUUUAAAUCGUAACAUUAAUCUCUUAUAUUAUCAUGGCAAUAGCCCUUUUUGUGUAGUUAGUCAAUACCACACAAGUCCAAUUUGUCAAGUUCAAUGCAAACUUUGGUAACAUCUAGUAACAGCCAUGUCUAUCAGUAUAUCUAAGUACUUAACCUCAUGGUCAGAUGAGCAGGUUUGGAGGUGAACCUGAAAUGAAAGGUGUUAUACUUCACUUGUAGCUAAUCGAUCUUGAAUAUUUGGUCCUUUUAAUAGUACUAGCUUCUAGUUUCUUGUUCUGAUCUGGGAUCUCUCUCUAUCUUUCUGGUUGGCAAUAGGGAUAUUCUCUCUCUCUCUCUCUCUCUCUCUCUCUCUCUCUCUCUUCUUUGUUUUGAUUUUUCUUUAACAGGCUUUCAUAUUUGUUGGGAGAAUGCAGGUUUAUUACAUAAUUUGUAGUUCCUCAGAACAUCAAUAAAAGGUCUUUAAGGAUUGCAUACUUGGUAGUGUACAAAGAUUGGACUUUAUUAAAAAUCUGAAGUAAAAGUAGAAAACCACAAUUUUUAAUUUUUGCAGCUGAGUUCAGCUUUACUUUGUAUGCUCUUGAUUUGCUUUAAGAUGAAAUAGGCAGUUGAGGUCUGAUAUCUUCUAAACGUCCAUCUUCAUUAAUUUUCCUCUCCCUGUCAUUUCUAAAGAAUAUUGGUUGGAAAGGUAAAUAUUGGUUGGAAAGGUAAAGGAAGAUCAGGAGCAGCCACCAGAAACCAAAAUUUAUGUGGUUUGGUUAUUUAAUUACAUUAUAUAUGGUCUGGCAAACCAGUGCUCAUGUUUUGAUUGCAGCUUUUGAUGAUUUAACUAUCUCAUCUUCCCUCAAACUGAUAUUUACCUUUUAUUGUUCUGCUUGCAGCUGCCAAGAAAACUGGUCGGCUAUCUCUGCUGCUAUCGAAGUUGUCUGCCAAGCUUAGAGGUAGACAAUGGGAACCUCCUUCUUCACCCCCAGCUUCAUCAUCCUUCAUUAACGCUAAAUUAGUAUUCAAAGUCAUACUGGUAGCUGGACUUGCUGUAGGUUGGCAAUACUUUUUUUCAUGAAGUUAAAAAUAUAGAGUUUUUCAGUACACAAUAUGAGCAGAACGACAGAAUACUGAACCUCAGAAUUUGUGAAAAGAUCAUGUUCUUCCAAAAUCCUAUGUGACUCAAUUUUGUAUCAUUUUGAGCUACUCAUAAUAUUCUUUUACUUUUUGAAAUUUGACUAACCUUUGUUUCACAUAUCUAUUCUCAUCUGCAUAAGGUCAUUGAAUUUCGAGCUCCUUUGGUUUAAAGGCUUGUAUAAAGAUAUACUGGUACGAAAAGGAAAAUUGAUCAAUUGUCAUUUUUAGCAUGUCUGCUAUGGUUAUUUCUUGAGGCUGUUCCUCACAUUGCUGAAGUUUAACCCCUAAUAAUUU
rnacentral:lncRNA from 1 species